GAUUUGUACCAGCAUCCACUGACCGGUUGGUGAGAGAGGUGUUGCACAUCCAGAAAGCGCUGUAAAGAAUGACGUCUGUGGCUUUGGAAAUCCUGCCACACUCAGAUUUGGUGGCCUUUUCAGCUGCAUGAGACCCUACUAGGGUGGUCUCCUGCGUUGCAGGCAGACUCUUUACCAACUGAGCCACCAGGGACGCCCCGGUAAACCUGAAGUUUGGCCACCGCCACUGCACAGUUGAAGAGAAGGAGUCAGUCUGUUACUGAAAGAUGGGAUCUGGCUGCUCACAGCUCAAAAGCCAAUAAACAGGCUGGAUUGGUGGAAAGGAAAAUGUUAGUCACUCAGUAUGUCCGACUCUUUGCGACCUCAUGGACAG
ensembl:lncRNA